UACGAAGGGGGCUAGCGUUGCUCGGAAUUACUGGGCGUAAAGCGCACGUAGGCGGCUUGUUAAGUCGGGGGUGAAAUCCUGGAGCUCAACUCCAGAACUGCCUUCGAUACUGGCGAUCUCGAGUUCGGGAGAGGUGAGUGGAACUGCGAGUGUAGAGGUGAAAUUCGUAGAUAUUCGCAAGAACACCAGUGGCGAAGGCGGCUCACUGGACCGAUACUGACGCUGAGGUGCGAAAGCGUGGGGAGCAAACAGG
rnacentral:rRNA from 1 species